AACAGUAGAUUAAUUAUGGAGUAUGAUGCCAAAUAGGAAUUUCCAAAUCAAAGCAAUCAAACGUGGAGCACAAUCACAGAAAAUUGGUAAAAACAUCCAUUAUGCAGAUUACAAUUAACUUUUUCUCCAUCUAACCUAGUGGAUGUUGGCGGAAAUUAUAAGCAGUCCAUUUGUUAAUAUAUUCUUACCAAGAGUAAUAAAAACAACAAAUCAUAGAAAAAAAUUUAAUCAACAAUUGCAAUCCACCAAGAAGGUGCCAAACCUUAUUCCAAGCGCAUUGCUCAAAACACAGCACAGAAAAAAUGCUGUUUUCCAAAGCAGCCAUGCGAGUAACAUUAGAUACAGUUCCCCAGUUGGAAAUUGAAAAUAAUAAACUGGAAGAACGGGAAAGUAAGUAACAUGUUUUUUCGAAUAUCCAUCUCAAAUAAAACCUGCUUUUCCAACCAAAUUAUCAAACUCAACAUUAUGAAAUCGAUAUCACCAAGAUCUUGCCAAUCACUUGCAAAUAAAACUACUAUAAUCAUCAGGACUGUUAUUAAUAUUAAGCCCAUCAUCUGUAAACAAGGAGAUGCAAUAAGGUUUGAAGGAACAUCAUGCAGAAUACAAAAGGCAAAUCAUUCUUGGCACAAAUUAGUGCCACAUCAUGGCCAGAGUGAUAACAUCACAUGCCAAUUAUCAAGGGUACUAAUUACAAUGUCUUAAAUUCUCAACCAUUCCUAACAGGUGCCAAUUAAAGUCACUUAACUUUCUCCAACAGGUGAAUCUCACUGGAAUAAAAAUGAGAGGUAUCGAGAGAUUGGAGGGUUACUUUCUAUUUGUAAUCCAACAAUUGGACCACAAAAAAAA